rnacentral:rRNA from 1 species
CGAAUAACCUAUACAUAGCCAACACAAUUAGGAUUGUAUGGUGUUGAGUAGGAAUGCGUGAUGAAUGUUGUGAAGUAUAUCGUGUGAACGAAUAUGGAACAUUCAUUAGUGCAGAUCUUGGUGGAAGUAGCAAAUAUUCAAAUGAGAUCUUUGAAGACUGAAGUGGAGAAAGGUUCCAUAGGAAUAGUGAUUAUCUAUGGGUUAGUCGAUCCUAAGAGAUAAGUGAAAUCUGUUGAAAGUAUAACAUUUGGUUAUAAGUUAUCGAAAGGGAAUCAGGUUAAUAUUCCUGAACCAAAUAGUAUAAGAAACGGUAACGUAUAUUCCUCUUGAGACAUUUCUAUUAUUCCCAGGAAGAGUUUUCUUUUCUUGUUAACAAUAUUUGAGUGCUUGGAAUUAAUUCAGUUAGCGAUAAGCAUUGAAUAUUGGUAAAGUAGUAUACUAUUGUAUAUUAUCUGGUGCAAUGAUAGGGAUCCUUGAAAAUGAAGAGGUAAAAUCUUAGAAUAUUUGGUCGUACUAAUAACCGCAUCAGGUCUCCAAGGUGAAUAGCCUCUAGUUAAUAGAAUAAUGUAGAUAAGGGAAGUCGGCAAAUUAGAUCCGUAACUUCGGGAAAAGGAUUGGCUCUGAGGGCUAAGUGGAUAUGAGUGUUAGGUAUGUGUUGGUGUAGUGUUCGUGUUGUUUUUGAUGGCUUCGGUUGUUGAGAAUGGCAUUUAUAUAAUUCCUUCCCAUCCUGUCACUCUCCCACUAUGAAUAGCUAACUCAGAACUGGUACGGACAAGGGGAAUCCGACUGUUUAAUUAAAACAAAGCAUUGUGAUAGUGUGAAAGAUAUAUUGACACAAUGUGAAUUCUGCCCAGUGCUCUGAAUGUCAAAGUGGCGUAAUUCAACCAAGCGCGGGUAAACGGCGGGAGUAACUAUGACUCUCUUAAGGUAGCCAAAUGCCUCGUCAUCUAAUUAGUGACGCGCAUGAAUGGAUUAAUGAGAUUCCCACUGUCCCUAUCUACUAUCUAGCGAAACCACAGCCAAGGGAACGGGCUUGGAAAAAUCAGCGGGGAAAGAAGACCCUGUUGAGCUUGACUCUAGUUUAACAUUGUGAAAUGACUUUAGAGGUGUAGCAUAGGUGGGAGAAGCAAUUCGAUCCUGAAAUACCACUACUCUGAAUGUUGUUUUACUUAUUCCAUGAAAAAGGAUAGUAUAUUCGUAUACUGUUAAGAAGUAAAUUGGUUAAUCCAAUGACCUAAAUGGGAGACAUUGUUAGGUGGGGAGUUCGGCUGG